AUUGAACGCUGGCGGCAGGCUUAACACAUGCAAGUCGAGCGGAGUGAUGGUGCUUGCACUAUCACUUAGCGGCGGACGGGUGAGUAAUGCUUAGGAAUCUGCCUAUUAGUGGGGGACAACAUCUCGAAAGGGAUGCUAAUACCGCAUACGUCCUACGGGAGAAAGCAGGGGAUCACUUGUGACCUUGCGCUAAUAGAUGAGCAUAAGUCGGAUUAGCUAGUUGGUGGGGUAAAGGCCUACCAAGGCGACGAUCUGUAGCGGGUCUGAGAGGAUGAUCCGCCACACUGGGACUGAGACACGGCCCAGACUCCUACGGGAGGCAGCAGUGGGGAAUAUUGGACAAUGGGGGGAACCCUGAUCCAGCCAUGCCGCGUGUGUGAAGAAGGCCUUAUGGUUGUAAAGCACUUUAAGCGAGGAGGAGGCUCUUUUGGUUAAUACCCAAGAUGAGUGGACGUUACUCGCAGAAUAAGCACCGGCUAACUCUGUGCCAGCAGCCGCGGUAAUAC
rnacentral:rRNA from 1 species